rnacentral:rRNA from 1 species
GGCCGCGGGAAUUCGAUUACUAACACGUUACCAAUCUACCCUCGAGUGGGGGAUAACUCCGGGAAACCGGGGCUAAUACCGCAUAACAUCCUCGGAUCGGAAGAACUGGGGAUCAAAGGAGCAAUUCGCUUGAGGAGGAGGUCGCGGCUGAUUAGCUAGUUGGCGGGGUAAUGGCCCACCAAGGCGAUGAUCGGUAGCCGGCCUGAGAGGGCGCACGGCCACACUGGAACUGAAACACGGUCCAGACUCCUACGGGAGGCAGCAGUGGGGAAUUUUGCGCAAUGGGGGAAACCCUGACGCAGCAACGCCGCGUGGAGGAUGAAGUCCCUUGGGACGUAAACUCCUUUCGACCGGGACGAUAAUGACGGUACCGGUGGAAGAAGCCCCGGCUAACUUCGUG